UUACAAUUGGGCUUCUGA
rnacentral:snRNA from 1 species